UACGUAGGGUGCGAGCGUUGUCCGGAAUUAUUGGGCGUAAAGGGCGCGUAGGCGGCCUGCUAAGUCGAACGUGAAAUCCCUGGGCUCAACCCAGGAACUGCGUCCGAUACUGGUUGGCUUGAAUCCGGGAGAGGGACGUGGAAUUCCAGGUGUAGCGGUGAAAUGCGUAGAUAUCUGGAGGAACACCGGUGGCGAAGGCGACGUCCUGGACCGGCAUUGACGCUGAGGCGCGAAAGCCAGGGGAGCAAACGGG
rnacentral:rRNA from 1 species